AGAAAGAAGUCGAGUAUGUAUGUUUAAUGAGGUAUAAAAGUAGUUUGCAUGGAUAUUUUGAUCACUUGGCUCCACCCCGACUUGGUCUCCUCCACCUGUACCCCUGUCCUCCCAUCUCCAUCAAGCUGUCCCUGAACUAACAACUAAUUGCUGCAUGUGAAAAUCAACAAGUUCUGGACUCACAAAGUUAUCGAAGUACGUUAUACAGCGUUGUUCCAGAAUCGUUCAAGAAAGCCAAGUCACUUCAAUCACCAAGUCGGGAAUAUUCAACUAAAUUUUACAACAUACUUCAAGGGAACUUAAUCUGAAAGUGUCAGGAACUGAUUCAUAAGGAGGAACAUUGAUAGGAGGAACAUUGAUUGCAGAUACGUCGGUAGAUAGGUACCAUUAACCCUAUGCCAAUUUGAUGCUGUGUUCCUGAUUCUGAUCCUGAGUUCCUGAAUUUGAUCCUGUCGUCCUGAUCCCGCAACUGUGUUCCCGAUUCCGUUCCCGUCUUCGACGUCGUCAUCUUUCCUGUUCCCAUACCCGUAGCAUCGUUGUCCAUCUCUUCAUCUCGUCUGUAAACGGCCGAAUCGGUACAUCCACUCCAAUCGCGAAUAGUCUACCGCGCUGUAUGUAAGUGCCCACAGUACUAACAAUUUCUAACUAACCUCCUUCUUCCCAACCCUUAAUGUCCCAUUUAUUUAGACUAACAAGUUAAGGCUUUUAAAUUGUAUGUUAGCUUAAGGUGUAUUUUGAUAUGAAUGUAUGUUGAAGAGAAGACAGAGAUCUUCUGGAUUAUUGAUACUAUUUCCAUGACAUUGUUUGAUGAUAAAUACUGUUAGAAGACUAGUUGAUACAGGUUAGUGAUUGGUAAAUAAACAUAUAUGACACCUUAAAUAUUAUAUCGUGUCCCAGCGCUUUUAUUCUUUGACUUUAUUUUAAAUCGGUGGUCUAUUUGAACUAACCCCUCCCCCGAGUGAAAGUCAUAGCUAGCGGACCAAUACAAAAACCUGAUUUCACUCGGAGCUCGAUUCUACUAUUUCAUUAUAAUAGAAGACGGCGUGGUGUGGGCGGUUAGA